GGACAGCGUUCUUCUACACCAACGUUCCCUUCCUGUGAUUGCAAAGACAGCUCUGCUUCAUCUUCCAUUGUCUUCUGCUUCCUAUCAUGGAGGAUUCAGCCAUUGCAUCUCCUACUGAUGGACAAAAGCAUGAAAGUAGAUCUGUUGGUGAAAGCUCUUGAGAGGUGCGGAGACGGGGAGGAAACGAGGCGCCAUCCCACUGAAAUCAGCAGGACUCUGUGGUGCUCUGAGGAAGGCAUACAUAUGCCUGGAUCAAGCUGAUAUUUACAGAAGGCUCCUUCUGAAUUGGCUUUUGAUUACACACCUAUGUUAGAAGGUGGACAGUGAGACUCAGUGUGACUUGUUUCUGUGAGAAAAAGAUGGUGAAAGAUUGCAAAGUUAACCUUUAAUAUAACAGACCUUUUUCAGCUGUCAUGUACAGUGCUGAACUGUGUAUUUCUGGUUGAAAGGGAACAUAAACUAUGAUCCAGAACACAAAAGGGUUUAGAAAAUGUAACCUUCAUGAAUAUGGUUUGGGUUUUAUUAUCUCGCUUAUAUAUUCCACUUGAUAGCUGUAGGAUAACAUGACCAGUGAGUUGGAAUCUUUCCUUGUUUCUACCAACAAAAAAAUCAAUCCAUUAAUAGGCCAAUAAAAUCCUGGGAUUUGGAGAGAGGGGAGGAGGAGAAAUAAUUGCAUUGUUCUGAUGCUAACAAGCCACAUCUAUCUUAAAAUAACUGAUUAAAGCCUGUGCUGGCACGUGGCCUUUGCACAGGAAAGCUCAUUGCUUACAG